AAGAAGGAGAAAUUCCUUGGUAAAGGUAAAGUAAUUCUUCCGAUCUCCUUUGAUUCUAUUUCUCUUUUCCGUCUCCUUUCUAACUUCUUCUUCUCCUUUCUCUGAUGUGAGGUCCUUCUGGAUGGUUACGGAGGCUGAGCUUAGAGAACUUAGGGUUUCAAUGUGAAACCCUAAUUCUAUUUUGAUUCAAGCUUUAGUGGGUGGAUCCAGAUUGCAGCAAUUGAGAAUUUUAGAGGGUUUUGUUCCGUCCUUAAUUCAUUGAUUUAUUUUGUAUUUAUAGAUCAAAUUAGGUCUCAGUGUUUUAAUUAAAUUGGUUGCUUUAGGAAGUUCUUGAAUCUGAUUUGUUGUAAUUUGAUUUGAUUGGGUUUAGAAAUAGAUUAGGGUUUUGAAAUUUGAUUGUAUCUGGUCCGAAUUUCCCUAAAAAUCAUAUUGUAUGAUGUAUCUCUAAUAAAUUUUGGAAAGUUUUGAUUGAAUUUUGAAA
rnacentral:lncRNA from 1 species